rnacentral:rRNA from 1 species
CAGUAGCCGCGGUAAUACGUAGGGUGCGAGCGUUAAUCGGAAUUACUGGGCGUAAAGCGUGCGCAGGCGGUUGUGUAAGACAGGUGUGAAAUCCCCGGGCUUAACCUGGGAACUGCGUUUGUGACUGCACAGCUAGAGUAUGGCAGAGGGGGGUGGAAUUCCACGUGUAGCAGUGAAAUGCGUAGAGAUGUGGAGGAACACCGAUGGCGAAGGCAGCCCCCUGGGCCAAUACUGACGCUCAUGCACGAAAGCGUGGGGAGCAAACAGGAUUAGAUACCCGCGUAGUCCCUGUCUCUUAUAC